rnacentral:rRNA from 1 species
AACGAACGCUGGCGGCAGGCUUAACACAUGCAAGUCGAGCGCCCCGCAGGGGGAGCGGCAGACGGGUGAGUAACGCGUGGGAAUCUACCGUGCCCUACGGAAUAGCCCCGGGAAACUGGAAUUAAUACCGUAUACGCCCUACGGGGGAAAGAUUUAUCGGGGUAUGAUGAGCCCGCGUUGGAUUAGCUAGUUGGUGGGGUAAAGGCCUACCAAGGCGACGAUCCAUAGCUGGUCUGAGAGGAUGAUCAGCCACAUUGGGACUGAGACACGGCCCAAACUCCUACGGGAGGCAGCAGUGGGGAAUAUUGGACAAUGGGCGCAAGCCUGAUCCAGCCAUGCCGCGUGAGUGAUGAAGGUCUUAGGAUUGUAAAGCUCUUUCACCGGUGAAGAUAAUGACGGUACCCGGAGAAGAAGUCCCGGCUAACUUCGUGCCAGCCGCCGCAGUAAUAC